GCUGCUGAAUUUGCUCCUGUGCUGUACCUCUGGGCAGCUAUCAGCAGAGCACACAAAUCACCACCCCCUGCAGCAGCACAGCCAACGUGAUGGAUCAGGGCUGAUCACCUGCUUUCAACCUCAGGGGAGUGGCUGAAGGACGGGUGAAGCCUGCCCUGCUCAGAUGCAUUCAUUUUCUCUGCAUCAGUGCUGGGGAGGUACCUCCCUGCUGCUCCCUGAGACACUAUGUCUUGUAGAAGAGGCAAGCAAAGCUUCUUGACCUGACAAACUUCAUUUGGCUUCAAAUUUUAGGGGCUGCAACCCAUGGACAUCUUCCAUGGCUUACUGAUAAAAGCUUUGGAUCC